rnacentral:tRNA from 1 species
GCCGAAGUGGUGGAAUUGGUAGACACGCUAUCUUGAGGGGGUAGUGGACGACGUCCGUGCCGGUUCAAAUCCGGCCUUCGGCA